GAUCCUGGCUCAGGGUGAACGCUAGCGACAGGCCUAACACAUGCAAGUCGAGGGGCAGCGGGGAGGUAGCAAUACCUUUGCCGGCGACCGGCGCACGGGUGAGUAACACGUAUGCAAUCCACCUGUAACAGGGGGAUAACCCGGAGAAAUCCGGACUAAUACCCCAUAAUAUGGGCGCUCCGCAUGGAGAACCCCAUUAAAGAGAGCAAUUUUGGUUACAGACGAGCAUGCGCUCCAUUAGCCAGUUGGG
rnacentral:rRNA from 1 species